AAGGGCUUAGCUUAAUUAAAGCGUCUGGUUUGCGUCUAGUUGAUGUGAGAACGUAAUCUUGCAGUCCUUA
rnacentral:tRNA from 1 species